ACCGUGGAUGCUUUAAUGGAUGCUGGGAAGGCGGAGCCGAAUCUCUGCUUUCCUGACCAGUAGCCUAGCGUUUACGAUGUUCAUGAACGCCGCACACGUAGCACGAAAGCGUACAAUAAGGAAGGCGCUGGAAAAUCCGCACGGGCGAUGAACGCACCGCCGUUAGCCUGGCUAGUGUAUUUAUUUGUGUGUAUUUACUCAACUACAGAAAGUUCCAGGCUACUGUAGUUCCUCGUAUUGCAGCCAUGGCCUUUUAGUUACUCAACUAUAGAAGGUUGUAGGCUACACGUAUGUAUGUAUUUCUUAUAGUGUGCAGGGGUGUUUAUUUACACAACUACAUACGGUACCAGCCUACUGUUUUUCCUCAUUCAGUGGCAACACUCAACUACAGAGGGUAACUGACUAUUGUAUUUUUUGUGUAGUGGCUAAGGCAUUUAUUUACUCAAAUACAGAAAGUACCAGGCUGCUGUAUUUUCUCGUUUCAUAGCCACACUCAAAUACAGAGAGUACCAGGCCCAUGUUGGAUUUCCUCAUAUAUAUGGCCACAUUCAACUACAGAAAUUAUCAGGCGACUGUAUUUCCUCAUAUUGCAGCCGUGGCCUUUUAUUGACUCAACUACAGAGGGAAUCAAACUACUAUAGUUGUAUUGUGCAGGGGUGUUUAUUUACUGGAGUACAGAGAGUUCCAGGCUACUGUAUUUCCUUGUUUUGUGGCCUCAAUCAAUUACAAAGAGCUGUUAUAUUUCUUCAUUUAUUGAACAUGGGUGUUUAUUUACUCAAUUACAGUGGGUACCAGGCUACUGCAUUUCCUCAUACAGCAGCUAUGGGCAUCUACACUGUGCAGAAUUAUUAGGCAAAACUGCAACCUACUUGGAAUACUUUGAAGUACAAGAUGUUCAGUGUUCAGAGACAUGACCAAGAUAGACGGGCCCGUGGCUGGAUCGCUCGCGGGCACAGAGCUCCACGUCAACUCAAGACGCCAGCAAAGUGCAGUUUUCAGAAGACACUUUCCUUCAAGCAAUGGUACAGGAAGAAGUCUGUAUCUUUCAAAAAGACUGCUUUUUAUGCAGGACAAUGCUCCAUCACAUGCAUCCAAGUAGUCCUCUGCGUGGCAGGCCAGUAAAGGCUUGAAAGACGAAAAGUUUAUGACAUGGCGGCUGUGGUUUCUGCUGCACAAAAACCUGAUCGGCUACAAUCAAGAAACUGACAGAAUCCAUGGAUGGAAGGCUUAGCACAUUUGUUGAAUAGAAGGGUGGCUAUAUUGGCCACUUUUAUAUAUUUAUCAGUUUAUAUCCAUUUCUAUUGGACAAUUUUGAGUUGUUUGUUUAUAAUUCUCACUUAACUAUAUGAAAAUAAAAAACAGAUGGGAAUUUUUUUUUCAUUUACUUGCAUCAUAAUUGUACACACCAAUAGUUGCCUAAUAAUUUUUCCCAUAUUGAUAUUCUCCUAAGGAAGCCUAAACCUCACUUUUACUUUCUUAAACAUUUUUCUUUGAGGUUUAUUAACAUUUUGGAUUAACCUAAAACACUGCAGUUGGUUAUUUAAAAAAAUUAUCAAAAAUAAGACUUGCCUAAUAAAUCUGCACACAGUGUAUUUACUCAACUGCAGAGUACCACAUGUGCUACAAGCACAUGCAGUAGUGUGGUGCCCACGGGCAUAUUCAACUACAGAGUAUUGGCAAUACAGUAUUGCCUCGCAUUACCGUCAUGGGUGUUUUCAUAGUACAGGGAGUACUAGCGGCAGGUGUUUAUUAGAGGGAAACCUUGAUCUGCACACAUCUAUUGUAUUAUUACAUUGUGAAAUAUAAUAUUUAGUAAUUUAAGUGGUACCUUUUUAAGUAUUCAAUUUGGUUUUUAUUAAAUUUGUA